rnacentral:rRNA from 1 species
CAGCCGCCGCGGUAAUACGUAGGUGGCAAGCGUUGUCCGGAAUUAUUGGGCGUAAAGGGCGCGCAGGCGGCUUCUUAAGUCUGUCUUAAAAGUGCGGGGCUUAACCCCGUGAUGGGAUGGAAACUGGGAAGCACAGAGUAUCGGAGAGGAAAGCGGAAUUCCUAGUGUAGCGGUGAAAUGCGUAGAUAUUAGGAGGAACACCAGUGGCGAAAGCGGCUUUCUGGACGAAAACUGACGCUGAGGCGCGAAAGCCAGGGGAGCGAACGGGAUUAGAUACCCCCGUAGUCCCUGUCUCUUAUAC